rnacentral:rRNA from 1 species
GAUGAACGCUGGCGGCGUGCCUAAUACAUGCAUGUCGAGCGAACAGACGAGGAGCUUGCUCCUCUGACGUUAGCGGCGGACGGGUGAGUAACACGUGGAUAACCUACCUAUAAGACUGGGAUAACUUCGGGAAACCGGAGCUAAUACCGGAUAACAUGUUGAACCGCAGGGUUCAACAGUGAAAGACGGACUUGCUGUCACUUAAAGAUGGAUCCGCGCCGCAUUAGCUAGUUGGUAAGGUAACGGCUUACCAAGGCAACGAUGCGUAGCCGACCUGAGAGGGUGAUCGGCCACACUGGAACUGAGACACGGUCCAGACUCCUAUGGGAGGCAGCAGUAGGGAAUCUUCCGCAAUGGGCGAAAGCCUGACGGAGCAACGCCGCGUGAGUGAAGAAGGCCUUCGGAUCGUAAAACUCUGUUAUUAGGGAAGAACAAAUGUGUAAGUAACUAUGCACGUCUUGACGGUACCUAAUCAGAAAGCCACGGCUAACUACGUGCCAGCCGCCGCGGUAA